rnacentral:lncRNA from 1 species
CGACAGUUUGUGAGUAUUAAAAAACAGCUUGCCUGGGGUUUGUCCGAAGUAGGAUUGAAGUAAACAAAGUACAUGGGAGUGACUGAAUGGAACCUUGGCUAACAGUAGAAUCUGAGCCAAGCUGCCUAGCUCCUGUAUUUCAUCUCAUCGUGAUCGUGAUCCCUGAUCAUCACCGUGCUUCGUGUCUUGAUUUCUGUGUAGCGCGUUUAUCUUCUCCCGAGACACCCUGCGCACUGGAGUGAGCAGAAGCAGCACUUAGAGAGAGCUUUGCCUUCGGAAAUAGAUGUCACCCAUAAUGAAGACAAUGGUGCAGGCAGGCUCUCGAUUCUGUAGAGCAGCUGUGGAGUCACAAUGCCAAGUGGAUGAACAAAAAAAAAAGGCAGCCGAAAUGGAUGCCACCAAGACACCAAUAACCCUAACCAUCUUCUCCAACAUUAGCAAGCAGAAACAGUGGUGGAGGGGUGAAGGAGAGGCAGAGAGGGGAAGCACAGGCAUUGCAUGCCUUUAUGCGAGUUACUGUGUGGGGUUUGGCAUUUAGUGGUACAAAUUACUACUGUGCAGUAGUAAUUUGUAAAGAUGGUGCUCUGUCGAAAAAUAGUUUUGGAGCUCGGGCGACAGGGAGCUCGGUAUCCCUACCAUCCAGCCUCCUCGUUAUCCAGACUUCUGCUAUAUUGGCAGGCUGUAUAUGGAUGUAUUUAACCCAAUUAGCAAAGUGCAUGGACCCACAUCACCGCCCAGAACUCUGGAAAGGUGGCUCAUAUCCCUGACAUAUUACUCCCUCCGUUCCUAAAUAUAAGUCUUUGUAGAGAUUUUACUAUAAACCACAUACGAAUGUAUAUAGAUGCAUUUUGAAUGUAGAUUCAUUCAUUUUGUUCCGUAUGUAGUCCAUAGUGAAAUCUCUACAAAGACUUACAUUUAGGAACGGAGGAAGUAUUUAAUAGCUACAGAUCAACAACCAUGACCAAGAAAUGUGCCGUGCCACAAAAAUUACCAGAUGCGUUGAGAUGUUGUUUAUUAAGGCUGCAAUUAAAAUUGCCAGUGGCAUUUGGACAGCACAAACUAGCAGAAUAAGCGAAAUUAGCAGAGUUCGACAUUUCUCAUGCACAACUUAUUUGGCCAUUACAAAAAUUAUUUUGCACAAAGACACAUGACUUGCACAGGAAGAAGUCCAGUUUCAAAAAUGAUUGUCACUAGAUAAUCUUAUGCAUAGAUAGUUUGCACUUUAGAUGAACAGAUCGUGAUUUUCAAAGAAAAAAUGAUUGGUAAUAAUAUCUUUCUAGGGAGGAGGAUUUACAAGAAAAAAUCAGGCAAGAACCAUGGAGAUAGCUUCGUCCAGAAUACUGAACCAAAAAGUUAAAUUCAAAAACAAGAUACAAAGAUUCAAGUGUCAGAUCUCAUGGCCACAAUAAUAGAGGUUAAAUGCACUCGUGCACAAUCCGUAGUAGACACAUUGCAAGCAUGAAACUAGUAUGAACAUAUCAACCGUUAUGCACAUCAUUCUGAACAAAGAAGUUAAAUUCAAAACCAGUAUGAGGAUUUAAUUCACAGCCACAUAAUACCAUUCAGAUUUCUGGAUACAAGUAUGAAACAUGCAAAUAUGGAUUCUGCAACUCUGUAUUACAUUCCUCCACAAAAAGAACAAUUCAAGUUCAGUAUGUUUAAUUCACACAGAAAAAUAUACAAGAAAACUACAAGAAACCUUUGAUCCAUGAAAACCAUCAAUGUUUUCCUCCUAUCCUGGCGGCUGGAACCCUAGCCGCCGCCAGGAGAGCCCAAUCUUCCAGCACCGUCCUCCAGCGGCUCCUCUUCCACCGGCGACCUCGGUCGUCGGUGGUGAGGGGGUCGCCGGAUCCACGUGUGUGGAUCAUUUUUACUCCCUCGUAGUCUAGAUUUUUAGGCUAUUUCAUUGUCUUUGUUUCGGCGGCGACGAUUACAGCCUGAAUAAAGAUUCUUCGGAUCCUUCGUUGACAAGGCCAUCGGUCCUAUGGUUGGGGAUGGAUUUGAAAACCAGUCUGUUCAAGCAAGGAUGGUGUGGCGGCGGCGGCAUCCUCUUGGUGGACCUGUGUCCUCGGGCUCUGCCGUUGCGACGGCGUUUGCUCCAGCGUCAGCGCAGAGCUUGGGAGGUAGUCCAGGAGCGGAUGCAGAUUGUGGUCUGCAUCGACGACAUCUGGAAGACAGAACAUGUGCUGGGUUCGUGGUUCAUGGAUGGCAGAUAUGGUUUCCUUCUGCGACGUCUUAGUCGCGGUGGGGUGCCAGAUCUGUAGUUCGAUGGCAUGUCCGGGGUAUUGCAUCGGCCUGAUUCGAUCAACGGUAAGGGCUUCAUUUUUGGUGAGCCACCUUGGAGGUCUGCAAAGCUGCAUAUCAGCGAUGGAGCCGCGUCAAGCUCGAGUGAGGAGGUGAUCCAUUAUUCUUUUCUUCGGUGGUUGCUGUCGUGGUGCCCGAGACAGGUGAAGGGCGUUGGUGUCAAGCUCAGAGAUGUUUUGUUAUCUUUACAGUUUUGUCAUGUCGGUCAUUACGUGACUUGUACUUUAAUCUUUAUGAUAUAAAUGAGACACGUAUUACCAUGCAAAAAAAUGAAAACCAUCAAUCAAUUGUUUUAUUUGAUAGUACAAAAGGCAAAAGAACUCAUGAAUAGAAACCAACAACAUAUAACUGAUAUGGGGAUUCAAGAUUGGAAAAGAACCAGGCCAAAUUAGCAACAGUACAGCCUGGAUUUGAACGAAGACCACCUCGCCGAGAGACGAGAGCUGCAGGUAGUGGUGGAUCGCUGCAACCGACGGCCAUGUCUUCACUUCUCCAUUGGUGAAGUGGUUCUUUCCACAGGUCAACAUAAGUUUAUCCACAAGUUAAACUACUAAUAAGAAUUUGCUAUUACUGAUUGGUUGUCUCUCAAACUUACAUUUGUUCAGCACAAAUCUUUACCAUGCUCUAUUCCCACUACAUUCAAAAUCUCUCACCCCCAUUAUAUGCACAAUCCAGACAAGUCUGAAUCGAUUAAACACAACUACCAGCAAAAUUAACAAUAUUUAGGUUUUGGCCAGAAGUAGUCGAACCGGACAUGUACCUGAAGCAGUCUUUAGCCAAAUUAACAAAAAAAAAAAUCCUUUCCGUUGAGAACUACAUCAGAUUGGCCAAAAAGUUUUGGUUCAUUAUAACAUAAAUCAUUGAACAAAUAACCCAAUGAUCUCUUGUGACAAGAAAUAAUCAAAUGUUGAUUUUUAGUGUGCAUUUUUUCCAUUUAAUUUUUUAGGGUACAUUAUUUUCAUCAACAAUUCUCGCAAAAAAGAAUGCUUAAUUUCACACAAAGAACUGUUUCAAAAUCUGGGCACAUGAAAGAUCAAGGUUCAUGAAUGGAUAAGCACAUGUGCCACACUCCAAUGAACUUAAUGAACCAAAGAAGCAUAAACAAAAAAGAAAUCACUACUUGCAUGGAGAAUCAGUAUAGUUUCCUUUCUGUCAGUCUUGGAAAAAUUGCAACAGAGAAAUCAGGAGAACUCUGUCCUCCACAAAAAAAUUGAGUUCCACAAUCAAUCAAUUGAGUUCAGUAUGUUUUACUUUACACAGAGAAAAAACAUAGAGAAUUACUACAAACCUGUGAUCCAUGAAAACAAUCAAUCAAUUGGUUUUAUUUGCUAGUACAAAAGGCAAAGGAUCCAUAGAUAGAAAUCAACUACGUCUAACUGAUAUGGGAAUUGAAGAUUAGAAAAGAACCAUGCCUAAUUAGCAACAGUACAACCUGAAUCUGGAUGAUGACUACCUCACCGAGAGAUGGCAGCUGCAGAUAAUGGUGGAUUGCUGCAGCCGGCGGCGAUGCCAUCAAUUCUCCACCGACUGCUCAUGCGAGAUAUGCAACAGAUGUCACGGGCGCCCUCAGAUCUGGCCGGGAGCACCUCCCAUCUUCUCCAUGUUACCACCUAUCGAGAGAUCUGCACCUUGCCGUCGCACGUCAGAGCUACACCGCACGAGAACGUCACCUCGUCGUCGUCGUCAUCGCCGUCCGCGUCGGUAGGCACCUCGUGGGCAGAGACAGGGGAGAGGGGCGGCGGCGGCGACAGGAAUGAGCAAGUUAGAAGGCACCUCCGUAGAUGAGUGUGGACGUUCUGGACGCAGCGGCUAGACCUGGCCAUCCUUUGGGCCGGGCCGGGCUUCGGGCCGGGCCUGACCAAGCCCGAGGUAGAAAACUCAGGCCCCAGCCCGGCCCGGCCCGGCCGUCGGGCCUAGUUUUUAGGCCCGAGCCCGACCCAUCACAGCAAAAAACACGUCGGGCCUCGGGCCUCGGGCCGGGCCUCUUCAGUAAAUGGCAUAAACAGCGGGCCCAGGCCCGGCCCGACCUAGUCUUCGGGCUCAAAACCUAGGCCCAGGCCCGGCCCGGGAGCAGCGUCGGGCCGGGUCGGGCCGGGCUGUCCGGGCCGGGCGGCCCAUCGCCAGGACUAGCAGCGGCAUCUGCGCGUAGCGAAAAUGCUAAACCUACGAAAGACUAUACGUAAGGUUACGAAACUUUCCAAACUAAUCUAAACCCCCCCCUGAUUUUUAGGGGGUGGGCCCCUCACUCCCCUAAACACCGAUGCUAUUGUUCAACGUUGGCUAUGCGUAAACUUAAGUAGCUCCUUUACGUAAGUGUAGCAUUGCUCCUGCGCGCAGAUAUCUGGCCGCAGGCUGCGUCAAGAUGAUGUGCGCAUUAAUAAUCGGGGAAUGACAAAGGGAAGCAUACAUCGUCAUAUACAAAGGAAUACUGUGGCCGCGCUGCCUAUGUAGGGCUCGUUCCGUGCGGUACGUGUAUGACUUAAGCACCAGGCAUGCAAUACCGUACUGUAUUUACCACGUGGGCCCAAUUUGGAUUUCUAGAUGUGUGUGAUGUGUUGGAUCUAAACGCCAACGCUGAGUUUUCCUCUCGUCCCUGGCGGCUGGAACCCUAGCCGCCGCCAGGGGAGGCCGGUCUUCCAACGCCGCUCUCCGGCGGCUUCCCUCCGCCGGCGACCUCGGUCGUUGGUGGUGAGGGGGGUCGCCGGAUCCACGUGUGUGGAUCGUUUUUACUCUCUCGUAGUCUAGGUUUUUAGGUUGUUCAUCGUCUUUGCUUCGGCGGUGACGAUGAUAACGCUGAAUAAAGAUUUUUGGGAUCCUUUCCUAACGAGGCCAUCGGUCCUAUUGUUGGGGAUGGAUUUGGAAACCAGUCUGUUCAAGCAAGGAUGGUGUGGCGGCGACGACAUCCUCGUGGUGGACCUGUGUCCUCGAGCUCCGCCGUUGCGACGACGUUUGCUCCAGCGUCGGCGCGGAGCUUGGGAGGUAGUCCAAGAGCAGAUGCAGAUUGUGGUCUACAUCGACGACAUCUGGAAGACGGAGCACGUGCUGGCUCGUGGUUCGUGGAUGGCAGAUAUGGUUUCCUCCUUCGGCGUUUUAGUCGUGGUGGGAUGCUAGAUCUGGAGUUGGAUGGCGUGUCCGGGGUGUUGCCCCGGUCUGAUUCGUUCAACGGUAAGGGCUUAACUUUUGGUGAGCCACCUUGAAGGCCCGCAAAGCUGCAUAUCACCGAUGGAGCCGCGUCGAGCUCGGGUGAGAAGGUGAUUUGUCAUUCUUUUCUUCGGUGGCUACUGUGGUGGUGCCGGAGGCAGGUGACGUGCGUUGGUGUCAAGCUCAAAGAUGUUCUGCUAUCUUUUCAGUUUUGUCAUGUCGGUCUUUACGUGACUUGUACUUUGUUCUUUAUGAUAUGAAUGAGACACGUAUUACCAUGUAAAAAAAGAUGUGUGUGAUGUGCCUCAGGCUGGACGUGGCGAGCGGGCUUUUGGCCCGGCUCGCGGCCCGCGAAGGACUGGACUGAACGGUCCUGGCCCGGUAAAAUACUUGGUCGGUCCGAGCUCAAGAAUCAGGCCCGAGAAAUCUUCGGUCCGGUCCUGUUUUUGACCGAGCCGACCGAGCAGACCGACAAUCCCAGCGGCGACCUGCGCGAAAGGAGUAGUGGAGGAGCAGUGUAGGGAGCGCUGCACCUUCCCGCCGUCGUCGACCGUCGCCGUCUUCACCUGCCCGUAGUAGACUGCCUCCUCUACGUCUGGCCGCCGUCGAGCAACCAUGGCAGCCGUUUCAGCACAGCACGAACGUAACGCAAGCCGCCAUCUGGGAGCAACAAUCGAUCGGUCGUGAUUUUUUGAUCGUGGGAGAAAAGCUCAACCGUGAUUUUCGCAUCCAACUAAUCAGGCAAGUAUUUUUGAAAGGCAAGGAGUAGAUGUAAUAGCGCCCAGUUCCUAUAAUCAUGGGCCAUCACCCCACGUUGCAGUUUCCUUUUUUAUGCAGUCGAGAUGGAAACAAAAAAUACGACGGAAUCACGAUUUGAUCCGAAACUCAUGGCGCCAUUUGAGGAAGAACUCGACGUCAGGUUUGAUCCUCUAAUCACGGCAAGGCCCAUAAGCAGAAAAUCUUGGCUGCAUACUCGUUCUACAUUACUUGCAUGCAAUAGGGAAAACUGCUAAUGAACAAAUAUCUGCAGGUUCGUAGGUAACAGGCGCGCCGCCCAGCGCACACCUCGACCACCUUGCCGCCGGCGCUCUCGCAUGAAGCCCACCUUGUCACAGCACCAGCGCACGUCGCACACCUCGCCGCUGCACCCGUGCAAGUCGCUCGGUCCGGCCCGGGCUUGGCCGGUCCGCUCGGUCCGGCCCGGGCUUGGCCGCUGCCGGUCCGGUCCCAGAAAUCAGGACCGUCGUGAUGCUCAGUCCGGUCCGGUCCGGACCGCCGGCGGCCGGUCCAAACGACGGCUCGGACCGGGACCGGACCGGCCCGGACCGUGUCCACCCUGGGAUGUGCCGGACCUGCUUGAUGAUCCCGUCUGGAUUGCUGGUUCUCCGUGCUGCAUUCUCUUUCUGUUCAUGAUGACCGGAGUUGAUUCAAAGCAUGUGUCUUGCUGGUUGCCCCGUUCUUGAUGAACUUCUCCGCCCAUCGAUUUGAUUCAAAGCCUGUCCGUCGACAUGUGCCGUGGGGUUAGGCAAAGUGUGGGGAGGUAGUGAGAGCGUGGCAAGAGAUGUCAUCGAAAUCUUACCUUGCUGUGUGCCAGAGCCUGCCUGCGGCGUCGCCGGGAGAGAUCGGGAAACCUUCGAUGUGGUUUGCAAUGGAGCUUGUUUCAUCUACAGCGUUGUGGGG